ensembl:lncRNA
GAAAAUCUAAACCAUCCUUGAGCUGAACUUCCACAGUGUUAGUGGAGUUCAUUUGAAUUGUGUUUUCAUAUUCCCACUAUAAUUAUGACGGAUUGGCACCCAUACCACAUUAGGAUUGGCCACGAGUUGGACGGGAAAUUUGAAGAAUAGCAAAGUUCUGCCUGAAGCAAAGAUGGUGAUUCAGCUGGAAGAGUAUUUUCUGAGGAAUCAACGCCCCAGCUUAGUUACCUGGCAGAUCUGGUGCAGGCUCUUAAUCUUGGCAUUCCUGUGGCUUCUCUAAAUGCUUCUCCAAAAUGUUGGACCAUUUCCAAGAAAAAGUCUCCAUUCUUCCCCAGCCCUGGCACAGUACAGCAGCUCCAUUCCUUCCUACUCUAUGUAUGACAGUCUGGUCUCUGAUGUUUUUUCAGUGAAUUAACUCCAAGAAUUUAAAAGAAAGAACAUUUCAAUAUGUUUUUCUGACAGG